CUCAACACACAAUUACCUGGGCCCUUCUGAUUAUGGAGCUCAGUGGGGCAGAAAUCAGAAAAGCAGCUGGAAAUCCUUGCUGACAGUGGAAUGGAUGAUGGGAUGCAGGUGUUCCCGCUUGCUGGGUAGAACGAGCCCAAGUCCCUUGUGUUUCUCUAAGUCCUUUUCCAGUGCAGCUUAUUGCAAGAGACAUACAGCAUUACCAUUGGGCAGAGCCUCACCCCGAUGGUCCCCUUUUGAGAAGAAAUCGCCAAAGAUAUUCAGCCAUCCAUUAAAAAGUUUCAUAUCUAUUGAAAGUCCACCUUUCUAGACUUAAUAGCAGGAGUUACCUCAGUGAAAACCAAAACCAAUUUCACUGGAGCCAUUGCAAGCAGUAUGAGGCCUCUUGUAAUUAGUGGAAAGCUCCAAGGAAGGCUCAGCUCAAGAUUCAUGAGGCUCCUGCAUUACAUCACAAUUCCAGGCAGCUGCAUUAUAUCAAGAAAGGAGAAAAUAAAGACCCUGAUCUGUGUUUUACAUUAUAACGAUAUACUGCAUAUUGCUAUAGCUAAUGCUUUUCAAUACACAGAUGUUCUGUUUGCAUAUAUCAGGGGCUCUGAGCAUAUUAUAGUAAUUAAAUAUGCAAACAAUAAAGAACAUAUUAUUGCACAGACACAAGAAACUAACAUGUUUCCUAGAAAGCCUUCCCAACUUGCCAUUCCUUGACAGAUUUCAAGGGAAUUUAGGCACCUGGUAGCAUGUCCAGAAAGUCACUGAAAUUCCUUAAAUGGCAGAGCAGCAGGGAGAAAUCCCAGAUCGUGGUGUUGGAUAGACUAGAGGCUCUGAA